UUCUUCCAGUUCUAAUGUGAAGCAGCCAAUCAGAGCCAGGAGGCGGGUCUUAGCGCUGUCAAUCACUCUGUCUGCUAGUUCCCCUUCCCCUCUGUCAUGAAUGCUAAGGCUAAUUAGCAUAAUCGCUGACAACAGCAGAUAAAUGUUUUUUUCUGUAUCAUUAAGUUCUUUCUCCACCAUCAGCACAUUUAUCAGGGAUACAUGAGGGUGAUUGACAGCGCUAAGCCCCUCCUCCUGGCUGUGAUUGGUUGUUUUUGGCCAGAAGGGGUGCAUU